rnacentral:rRNA from 1 species
AACGAACGCUGGCGGCAUGCCUAACACAUGCAAGUCGAACGAGAUCUUCGGGUCUAGUGGCGCACGGGUGCGUAACGCGUGGGAAUCUGCCCUUGGUUCGGAAUAACAGUUGGAAACGACUGCUGAUACCGGAUGAUGACGAAAGUCCAAAGAUUUAUCGCCAGAGGAUGAGCCCGCGUAGGAUUAGCUAGUUGGUGUGGUAAAGGCGCACCAAGGCGACGAUCCUUAGCUGGUCUGAGAGGAUGAUCAGCCACACUGGGACUGAGACACGGCCCAGACUCCUACGGGAGGCAGCAGUGGGGAAUAUUGGACAAUGGGCGAAAGCCUGAUCCAGCAAUGCCGCGUGAGUGAUGAAGGCCUUAGGGUUGUAAAGCUCUUUUACCCGGGAUGAUAAUGACAGUACCGGGAGAAUAAGCUCCGGCUAACUCCGUGCCAGCAGCCGCCGUAAAAC